rnacentral:misc_RNA from 1 species
GAUGAAGAACGUAGCGAAAUGCGAUAAGUAAUGUGAAUUGCAGAAUUCAGUGAAUCAUCGAAUCUUUGAACGCACAUUGCGCCCCUUGGUAUUCCGAGGGGCAUGCCUGUUCGAGCGUCAUUAUAACCCCUCAAGCUCAGCUUGGUGUUGGGGCCUGCUGCACUGGCAGCCCUUAAAAUCAGUGGCGGCGCCAUCUGGCUCUAAGCGUAGUAAUUCUUCUCGCUAUGGAGUCCUGGUGGAUGCUUGCCAUCAACCCCCAAUUUUUCUAUGGUUGACCUCGGAUCAGGUAGGGAUACCCGCUGAACUUAAGCAUAUCAAUAAGCGGAA